GCGAAGGUAGCGCAAUCACUUGUCUUUUAAAUGAAGACCUGUAUGAAUGGCACGACGAGGGCUUAACUGUCUCCUUUUUCCAGUCAAUGAAAUUGAUCUUCCCGUGCAGAAGCGGGAAUAAUAUCAUAAGACGAGAAGACCCUGUGGAGCUUUAGACACUAAAUCAGCCCUUGUCCAAAAUCCUAAUUAAAGGAAUGAACACUAGAGUGAGACCUGAUCCAAUGUCUUCGGUUGGGGCGACCUUGGGGAAAGAAAAAUCCCCCAUGCGGAACAGAAAUACUGUAUUUCCAAAACUAAGAGAGACCACUCAAAGUAUCAAAAAUUUUGACCAACUAUAUGAUCCGGCUUAACGCCGAUCAACGGACCGAGUUACCCCA
rnacentral:rRNA from 1 species